rnacentral:lncRNA from 1 species
AGCCAAUCUCCUGAGUUCCUCGGGAUGCAAAGUUCAAAAGCCGCUUUGAAAGACUGCCCCGACCAUCUCUGUGUAACUGCCCUCGGUGAGGUCCACGGCAAUGAGAUGACCUAGUGACACACUGCCCAGCGCAGGUCCACAUCAGUGACACGUUCGGUCUCCCUAAACUUCAGCGUUCUCAUCCUCCAAUAUUAUUACGUUGGACAUUGCCUUGAAUUCUGUCCUGAAGUUCUCUUCUAUAAGGAAACAAAAUCCUAUGUAAUUAAUCCUGCAGAAUCUGAUCUUCCCAGAAUUAUUCUGCCAAUCU